UACGGGGGGGGGGUAAGCGUUGUUCGGAAUUACUGGGCGUAAAGGGCUCGUAGGCGGCCAACUAAGUCAGACGUGAAAUCCCUCAGCUUAACUGGGGAACUGCGUCUGAUACUGGAUGGCUUGGAUUUGGGGGGAGGGAUGCGGAAUUCCAGGUGUAGCGGUGAAAUGCGUAGAUAUCUGGAGGAACACCGGUGGCGAAGGCGGCAUCCUGGACCAAUAUUGACGCUGAGGAGCGAAAGCCAGGGGAGCAAAGCGGG
rnacentral:rRNA from 1 species